CGUAGGAUGCUAGCGUUGUCCGGAUUUACUGGGCGUAAAGCGCGCGCAGGCGGCAGCCUAAGUACGGAGUGAAAUCUCCCUGCUCAACGGGGAGGGUGCUCUGUAGACUGGGCAGCUAGAGGACGGUAGAGGGGGGUGGAAUUGCUGGUGUAGCGGUGAAAUGCGUAGAGAUCAGCAGGAACACCCGUGGCGAAGGCGGCCCCCUGGGCCGAACCUGACGCUGAGGCGCGAAGGCUAGGGGAGCGAACGGGAUUAGAUACCCCGGUAGUCCUAGCAGUAAACGAUGACCACUAGGUGUGGGGGGUGUUGACCCCUUCCGUGCCGAAGCUAACGCAUUAAGUGGUCCGCCUGGGGAGUACGGUCGCAAGACUA
rnacentral:rRNA from 1 species